GAAAAAGAAAGAAAGAAAAAAAAACUCUUGGGAAGCUGCAGAGACUUCUAUUGCAGAAAGGAAUGGAUGUACUCUGUUGCCCUUCCCCAAAUACCGCCCUGGUCAAGCCAAUUGGGCCGCCAACCAAUGGCACCGACCGGGCCUCCGCGCGCAGCGCCUGCUCAACUGACAGAGCGCUCGCAUCCCUCCGCUGUAGCUCGUGCAGCCUGGGCUAACGAGCCCGGGUGCCGUCCCAGCUCCUCCUCCGCCCACUCCACUGUCUCUCUUUCGCCUGUGCAGUGGUUCCUGGCAAAACCUCUUAUGCCACCUCCCGACCAUCCCGGGAAGAUUUGGCGGCUGGAGCCCUGCGCAGGAGCUGUAGCUCUGGGCUGCGGAUUUUACCGCCCCUGCACAGAAGCCUGCAGCGUGGAGGCUCCCCUCGCGCUCGCCCAGACUCGGCUGCAGAAGGAGGACCCACCUCGCGUCUCCCCCGAGGCGCGCACCUCUGUCGCCACCCUCCACGCGCCUAGGAAGUUUUGAAGGUAGAGAAUCUGGGCCCCUCAACUUCCUCUGGACAUGAAUCAAACCGCAGGAGUCUCCAAUAGCGUCAGGUAUCC
rnacentral:lncRNA from 1 species